rnacentral:tRNA from 2 species
GCCUUUGUAGCUCAGGGGUAGAGCACUUCCAUGGUAAGGAAGGGGUCGUCGGUCCGAUUCCGACCGAAGGCU